rnacentral:sRNA from 1 species
CGCCAACUGAAAGGAGGUGAUCCAGUGUCUCAUUGUCUAUCGCCGCGGUCGCCGGCAUCCGUGAGCUGGAUCCUCGCCUUAUCCGAGGUUCUGAGCUAACGCCGCGUGACGUGACAGUCACGGUCUCGCGGCGAGGUUUGCGCGAUCCACACUCCGGAUCGUGAGACCUCCGCCGGACCACGGCUCGACAAUGGAAGGGCUGCCCGCAAGGGCAGCCCU